UAAGGUGACUAUGGCGCGGGGAUCACCUCUUCCCAUUCCGAACAGAGCAGUUAAGCCCGCCAGCGCUGAUGGUACUGGGAUAAUACCUGGGAGAGUAAGUCGUUGCUCGUA
rnacentral:rRNA from 1 species